CCACCGCCGAGCCCUGCAGAGCAGCCCCUGGGCACACUGCGGUGUCUGCCGUGCUACCGGCUUCGCCUGGACCCCGAGGAGCUCUUUGUGUGCUGUCUUAAUCAGUCCAUAAAAUGCUCUCGGUGAAAUGCUGCCUUCUUCUGUUUAUUUGUCACAACUGAUGCUCUGGUGAACAGUAAAUAGGAAAUUUGUUGGCAAAUCAGCGCUGCCAGCCUGUGUCACAGCUUCACGGGGAAAAGAAGGAAGUAGCAGUGCCUCCACCGCACACGGCUGCAAGCAAACGCAUUUCCAAGAAACCGUUCGGCAGCUUUCAUUUGAAGUUUACAUGAA